rnacentral:rRNA from 1 species
GAGAGGGGCUGCUCCUAGUACGAGAGGACCGGAGUGGACGAACCUCUGGUGUUCCGGUUGUCACGCCAGUGGCAUUGCCGGGUAGCUAUGUUCGGAAAAGAUAACCGCUGAAAGCAUCUAAGCGGGAAACUUGCCUCAAGAUGAGAUCUCACUGGGAACUUGAUUCCCCUGAAGGGCCGUCGAAGACUACGACGUUGAUAGGCUGGGUGUGUAAGCGUUGUGAGGCGUUGAGCUAACCAGUACUAAUUGCCCGUGAGGCUUGACCAUAUAACACCCAAACA